ensembl:lncRNA
AUUGAAGUCAGCUGGUGAAAUCUGCCAAAAAAUAAUGGGUCUUCACUGUUAGUGAAGCUUUAAUUUUUUAUUUCAGUGAGAAGAAAAAAGAUAUAGUUUUGCACAGGCAUCUGCUUAUAGGGAUUUAACAGUAGUACUGAUGUUCUUCUGGAGCUUCAGAAUGCCUUUACACCAGUAGAUCACAAGGAUUAUGAAUGCAAAUUGAAUAUAGAGACAAAGUAGUAGAUGACAUCAAGGAAAAGCCACCAAACAUCUGCUUAGAAGAAGACCAGCAUCUGCUAAAAACAACCAAAGACAUAUUUGGUCACCUGCAGGGUGACCAAACCCUUGCACUGCUCUACAAUGCUGCAAUAGCUCCAUUAUCCUGCCUGGUUUUGCUAGAGGAAAUUAAAAGAAGUGAGCAUCAAAAUUUUAAAGAAAAUCAGUCUACUGUUGAAGCAAUCAUACUCCUAGAGGAACUUCUGGUCCAAAGAUAUUCAAUAUGCUCUAGGUCAUGCUGGAGUUUCCUCUAUUAUUCAUGAAUACUGGCUUACUUGCUUAGAGUUAAAUUGUGGCUACGCUCCAAGCCCAGCAAAAGUGCCCAGGAACUGAGCAUGAAAGGAGACAGUAUAUGAAAAUACUAAUUAUGAAGAAGAGGGGAAUCUUUAAUUGAUAUAAGGCAUACUGAAGAAGUAGAAAUGCACUUUCAGAAGAAGAGUUUGAUGGAAGUAGUGCUGGAGUAUGAACAAAGGUAGCCAGGAGAGCCUCCAAGAAGAGAAGCCAGACCAUUAGUAGUUUUAUUAAAGCAAUGGUGAGUGGAAAGGAAAAC